UACGUAGGGUGCAAGCGUUGUCCGGAAUUAUUGGGCGUAAAGAGCUUGUAGGCGGUUUGUCGCGUCUGCUGUGAAAUUUCGGGGCUCAACCCCGAACUUGCAGUGGGUACGGGCAGACUAGAGUGUGGUAGGGGAGACUGGAAUUCCUGGUGUAGCGGUGAAAUGCGCAGAUAUCAGGAGGAACACCGAUGGCGAAGGCAGGUCUCUGGGCCAUAACUGACGCUGAAGAA
rnacentral:rRNA from 1 species